UCUCCCUCAGACACAUGGACUGGAAAACCUAGGAAACAUUCAAUGGAACAGGUAAUCCACCAUGGUCAAAGAAGCUCACUGACACUUGGCUUGAGUAAGGAGAGGGUGUAUUGGCUGCCUUCAGCUGCACAACAGGGGGUCCUCUUCCAAAGGCAGCUCCAGGAUAUGGUCUCCCCCAGAACACAAGGACUGAAAAAUUGGGAAACAUUCAAUGGAACAGGUAAUCCUCCAUAGUCAACAAAGCUAAAUGACACUUGGCUUGUGGAAAGGGAAGGUUUAGUGGCGGCCUUCAUCUGCACUGCAAGGGGUCCUCCACCAAAGACAGCUCCAGGACCUGGCCUCCCUCAGACACAAGAAUUGGAAAACCUUGGAAACAAUUAAUAUAACAGAGCGUGCCUUGGUGGUCUUCAGCUGCACUGCAGGGGGUCCUCCUCGAAAGAGAGCUCCAGGACAUGAUGGAUUCCCAAGUAUUUUAUGCUGUCGACAGUUAUUCUG